rnacentral:misc_RNA from 1 species
GAUCAUUACUGAGUGCGGGCCCUCUGGGUCCAACCUCCCACCCGUGUAUACCGUACCUUGUUGCUUCGGCGGGCCCGCCAGUCUGGCCGCCGGGGGGCACCUGCCCCCGGGCCCGCGCCCGCCGGAGACAUCAUUGAACGCUGUCUGAAGAUUGCAGUCUGAGCGAUAAGCACAAAUUAGUUAAAACUUUCAACAACGGAUCUCUUGGUUCCGGCAUCGAUGAAGAACGCAGCGAAAUGCGAUAAGUAAUGUGAAUUGCAGAAUUCAGUGAAUCAUCGAGUCUUUGAACGCACAUUGCGCCCCCUGGUAUUCCGGGGGGCAUGCCUGUCCGAGCGUCAUUGCUGCCCUCAAGCCCGGCUUGUGUGUUGGGCGCCGUCCCCCCGGGGACGGGCCCGAAAGGCAGCGGCGGCACCGCGUCCGGUCCUCGAGCGUAUGGGGCUCUGUCACCCGCUCUGCAGGCCCGGCCGGCGCCAGCCGACCCCCUCAACCCUUUUUUUUUUUUCAGGUGAC